rnacentral:guide_RNA from 1 species
ACAAACAGAUACAGAAGCCAACGAGAAAGAAAGUGAAAUUU